GGAGGUAUCAGUUAGAUGGAGGUAUCAGUUAGAUGGAGGUAUCAGUGAGAUGGAGUUGUUUCCUACAGUUAGAUGGAUUUAUCAGUUAGAUGGAGGUAUCAGUUAGAUGGAGGUGUUUCCUACAGUUAGAUGGAGGUAUCAGUUAGAUGGAGGUGUUUCCCUACAGUUAGAUGGAGGUAUCAGUUAGAUGGAGGUGUUUCCUACAGUUAGAUGGAGUUAUCAGUUAGAUGGAGGUAUCAGUUAGAUGGAGGUGUUUCCUACAGUUAGAUGGAGGUAUCAGUUAGAUGGAGGUAUCAGUUAGAUGGAGGUAUCAGUUAGAUGGAGGUGUUUCCUACAGUUAGAUGGAGGUGUUUCCUACAGUUAGAUGGAAGUAUCAGUUAGAUGGAGGUAUCAGUUAGAUGGAGGUGUUUCCUACAGUUAGAUGGAGGUAUCAGUUAGAUUGAGGUAUCAGUUAGAUUUAGGUAUCAGUUAGAUGGAGGUAUCAGUUAGAUGGAGGUAUUUCCUACAGUUAGAUGGAGGUAUCAGUUAGAUGGAGGUAUCAGUUAGAUGGAGUUGGCAGUUAGAUGGAUGUGUUUCCUACAGUUAGAUGGAGGUAUCAGUUAGAGGGAGGUAUCAGUUAGAUGGAGGUGUUUCCUACAGUUAGAUGGAGGUAUCAGUUAGAUGGAGGUAUCAGUUAGAUGGAGGUGUUUCCUACAGUUAGAUGGAGGUAUAAGUUAGAUGGAGGUAUCAGUUAGAUGGAGGUGUUUCCUACAGUUAGAUGGAGGUAUCAGUUAGAUGGAGGUGUUUCCUACAGUUAGAUGGAAGUAUCAGUUAGAUGGAGGUAUCAGUUAGAUGGAGGUAUCAGUUAGAUGGAGGUGUUUCCUACAGUUAGAUGGAGGUAUCAGUUAGAUGGAGGUAUCAGUUAGAUGGAGGUGUUUCCUACAGUUAGGAUGGAGCUAUCUGUUAGAUGGAGGUAUCAGUUAGAUGGAGGUAUCAGUUAGAUGGAGGUGUUUCCCUACAGUGAUAUUAACGCAGUAUUUGUCAUUAUAAUGAAUACACCCUCCUUCCACCCAGGGUAUGUUUUCGUAACAUUUCUCAGGGACUGUUCCCUCAAACAAUCAGAGCUCAGCUCUUACCUCCCUCCCCCUCCUCUUCCCCCAGUUUGAUUACUUGAUCUCUUACUGGAGGUGUCUCUGGUCGCAGCCUCAACCCUAGCCCUAGCCCCAGCCCUCACACCCAGAGGAAAUGUAAGUGCGACCGGGGUACUUGGAGCUCCAGAAACUCAGAGGUCUGGGUACUUCCUAUCACCCCAAUAAUAAAAUUACCUUGUCUGAAAUAUGCUUUAGUAUACAAAUUCCUCAUGUUGUAUGUAGCUGUUCUGUCCGUUCGAUGUUAAGACGUGUCCUAGUGCUGCUAAGCCAGGCAGUCAUCAAUGUGUUGACAUCGGUCUGUGGGUUGGUUAGGGUCAUGCUGGGAGGAACGGGAUACCCACUACUUUAUAGGGAUAAAAUAACAUGUCUAUUUUGGUGCGAGUUGUUUCUUUAAAUGUACGCCAGGCUUUGGAGCAAUAAAAUGGUUCCUUUAUUUCCUUAUCCAAACAUUUCACUGUGGUAAGAAUGCAGGCCUUCCUUACAAUUGGGUAAACUGCCAUCAUGCCGGACAUAGGACCAAUAAAAGUGAUGAAUGUCUAUUGGUUUAAUUUGCCUGUAUGAUAAUGAUGAUUACACACCUCUUGAUCUGGUUUA